rnacentral:lncRNA from 1 species
UGACGAGAGAUCCUUGUUGAGGAACCCGAAGAGAGUACGUGGAGGAGACCCCGAGUAUGACAUCGAGUACGACCCGGAUGAGGACCGAAAUCCUAUCCUGUCUUGUCAGACCUUGUUUGCUUGUAAAAAGUUGUCGUUGUGAAUUUUCAGUGAGAAAAAUGUAUGGCCUGCUUUUCUAUCCCAUUGCUUUAUUGUCUGGGGAUUUAUAACUGCUUCCGCAUGUGCAUAUAUAAAUGAAAGGGUCGGCGAUACAUAGUCCUGGGAUAUCGCAUUUUAAAAUCGACCAAGAGUAAGGGAUGUGUGCGUGCCUGAGGGUCGGGGCGUGACAC